GAGAGAAAGCGAGAGGCAACCGCUCCCUGGGGCCGACCCAACCCGGACGCACAUCCCGGCUCCCCCGCCCGGAAACGCCGUCAGGACGGGGGCGCCGCUCGGGGAGGUGCCUGCCCGCUGCCUCCGCCCCCGCGGCGGCGAGACCCCGCCGGGUGGGGUUGGCCGGGAGGCUCCUGCCGGGGGUUUGCGGUAGGGUUGUUGUCCGCCUGAGUCGGGCUUGAAGCGAGGGACAGGUUGCUUUUUCGUCUGGGUUCCUGAGGAAAGAUACGGGCAAGGCUGAUCUUCCCGGCCCCUGCCUGCAUUCAUCCUUGUUCCACUCCCUAUCCGCCGGCCUUCCUCACCUCGUCCUUCACGGAAAACAGUGUGAUCAGCCACAGGCUUUCUUUAGGUUAUCAGUGAGGGCAGCUGCCGUUCCUGUGUAGCUUUUUUUGACCAAGGUGUGCCCAUCAUCGUGGCACAUGGUCUGCCAGCUCCCAGGUUUUAAUAAAACAGGGUAUGAUAGAUGUCAAGUAUUCCAGGCAGACUGUUCCCCCUUCUCUCCGUUGACUGGAAAAGGAGCCUGUGACCACAGCUGUAUAAGAACCUCUACUGAAAGUUGAAGAAAAAAUAUACGACUCAAUCACAGGAACAUUUAGGGAGCGUACUUGAUUGGAACAUUAUAUCUGAAUUUCCAGAAUUUGGACUGAUAGAAAUAAGUUCAUGGUGUUACAUAUAGGCACCAGAGUUCACCUAAAACCAUGCAACAGAGGCUAUGUGAAUUUUGGAUAUACUGAGGACUUACAGCUUGCCUGGAAAUCAGUGAAGUUGGAGAAUCCAAGUAACCUAGGAAACUGUUACCUGUAUAUGUACUUACAUGCAUACAUAUAUAUGCGUGUACCUUACAGUACAUGUGCAUAUGUUGACUGAAAUAUUCUGUAAAAGUGCAUUUUUUUA